rnacentral:rRNA from 1 species
GAUGAACGCUGGCGGCGUGCCUAAUACAUGCAAGUCGAGCGAACAGACGAGGAGCUUGCUCCUCUGACGUUAGCGGCGGACGGGUGAGUAACACGUGGAUAACCUACCUAUAAGACUGGGAUAACUUCGGGAAACCGGAGCUAAUACCGGAGAAUAUAUUGAACCGCAUGGUUCAAUAGUGAAAGACGGUUUUGCUGUCACUUAUAGAUGGAUCCGUGCCGCAUUAGCUAGUUGGUAAGGUAACGGCUUACCAAGGCAACGAUGCGUAGCCGACCUGAGAGGGUGAUCGGCCACACUGGAACUGAGACACGGUCCAGACUCCUACGGGAGGCAGCAGUAGGGAAUCUUCCGCAAUGGGCGCAAGCUUGACGGAGCCACGCCGCGUGAGUGAUGAAGGUCUUCGGAUCGUAAAACUCUGUUAUUAGGGAAGAAAAAAUGUGUAAGUAACUACGCACGUCUUGACGGUACCUAAUCAGAAAGCCACGGCUAACUACGUG